UGGGGAAUUUUGGACAAUGGGGGAAACCCUGAUCCAGCCAUCCCGCGUGUGCGAUGAAGGCCUUCGGGUUGUAAAGCACUUUUGGCAGGAAAGAAACGUCGCGGGUUAAUACCCCGCGAAACUGACGGUACCUGCAGAAUAAGCACCGGCUAACUACGUGCCAGCAGCCGCGGUAAUACGUAGGGUGCAAGCGUUAAUCGGAAUUACUGGGCGUAAAGCGUGCGCAGGCGGUUCGGAAAGAAAGAUGUGAAAUCCCAGAGCUUAACUUUGGAACUGCAUUUUUAACUACCGGGCUAGAGUGUGUCAGAGGGAGGUGGAAUUCUGCGUGUAGCAGUGAAAUGCGUAGAUAUGCGGAGGAACACCGAUGGCGAAGGCAGCCUCCUGGGAUAACACUGACGCUCAUGCACGAAAGCGUGGGGAGCAAACAGGAUUAGAUACCCUGGUAGUCCACGCCCUAAACGAUGUCAACUAGCUGUUGGGGCCUUCGGGCCUUGGUAGCGCAGCUAACGCGUGAAGUUGACCGCCUGGGGAGUACGGUCGCAAGAUUAAAACUCAAAGGAAUUGAC
rnacentral:rRNA from 1 species